rnacentral:rRNA from 1 species
AUGUCAAACAUGAGCGAACAGUGCUCUAAUGAUGCAUUGGAGUACUUCGCUAAGGAGGUAGGACUUCGACGGCCGAUUUUGCGAGUCAAUGCUCUCAUGGUGGUUAUGGGCAUCUUGAUGGGGCUCAUGGUGGGGAUAGGCGCUUACGGUCAUCGCUACCGGCACAUUCCACUGAUCCGUUUUCUCUAUCUGGCUGCCACCACAUUGUUCCUGCCCAUCGUCUCUUAUAUUGUCUCUUCCAGUGGAUUAGACAUUGGACAAUCGAUCAUCAUGCUAUAUAAAGGUGUGAUAAUGAAAGGGGAUUGUCGAGCAGCGGGACACGUCCUCUUGGUCCUUGUAUGGGCGGCUCUGGUUCUGAUUAUUGGUAUAAAUUCGAAUUCACUAGUUGCCGCAGAUGCCAGAGAAGGCCGAAGCAUUCCUCCCAAUAUGACCCUUCUCAUUCAAGCAGUGUGGACCUCCUACCUAGGGAUAUACAUAUGCAUCGUAAAUGGUAUUUCACCUCUGGGGAUAUUAGUGAUUCUUGGUCCGCUUGGUGUUAUAUUUGCCAAAUUAGUUCUGAAGUGUUAUGCUUGGUACAUAGCCAGACAAUCAUUAGCCUUUGGACGCAGUCCUCGUCUUAUUGUUGGAUACAUGGAGAAGCUGCAGGAUGGAAGCCAUCAUGCCGAGUUAGCAAGUGAGCAUAUGCCUCCUCCACUUAUAGUUAAUGGAGAGCACACCAUGAAGGUGCAGGAGAAGUCUUGUGGCUAUGAAUUAAAUUGGAUGUUAAACGGAGUGAGAAGUGAUAUGUACAGCAAAGACUUAGUGACCUUUGACAAAGUUUGGCAGCUGAAUGGCACACUUCUAGGAUCGAAAUCACUACAACUAAAAGAACUAUGCUUUUCAUUCGCAUUAUUUAAACUGUUACGGUGUCGAAUUGCAAGGUACAACAUUAUUGAGGUUGGUUUCAGCAAGGGUCGUAACUUCUUAGGACAAAUCUUGCUUGAGGAUAGUGCUGGUGAAAGAGUACCUGCAAUGAUUGCACAUGAGCUUUCUUUUCUCUAUGAUUAUUAUUAUUCAUCACUUCCAAUCUCAUAUUCAAAGAGUUGGCUGCCAAACGUGAGCGGAUUCAUUUCGGUACUAAACAUCUGUUACUGCAUAUUCAUAAUUUCGAUGAUGAUUUAUAUUGUUAUCAUGGCUCCUUUGUCACGGGAAUCAAAUAAAGGACAGAUUAGUUGUUAUGUGUACUGCAAGGACAUUUCUUAUGACAUUGAAGGAAGACUGGUAUCUUUUGGAAUCAUAUACUUUGAUAUAAUACCAGCAUGUAUACUUGCCGUAUUAGUUAUGCUUACUGAGGCAAGGGACAUUGCAUUUUACACCCGCUCUAACUGGGUUAAAGUAGGCUUGGUAUGUCAAUAUGUGAAGCAUGGUUCCUGGCCAUCAUCUGCUACCAUGAAGAGAUAUGUUAACUCAGUGCUACGGAGUAAAGGGAAGUUGACAAGGAAUUGGGAGGACAAAAUGGGCCAGUCCUCAAUUUUGGUGCUCCACCCAGGGAAAAAUUCAAUGGCUCUUCUUCGUCAUCUCAUUCCUCUGUCAGGCCAAAAUAAGAAGACACCAAGUGCAGUGAAAUCUGCCAUAGUCGGAGCACUGAGAAAAAGCUAUGAGAGAGGACAGAUCAAUGGUGAUGUGUUUUCUUUCCAAAGGAUGCUGCAUCUUCAAGACGACAACAAGAUAAUUUGGACGUUUGGGGAAAGAGGCACAACGGAAAUCAUGCUUGUGUGCCACAUUGCUACUACACUCCUUGGAGCUAGGUCACCACUACAUAAACAACCUCCGUUUGACUCUGACAACAUGUCUGUUGCUAAUCACCUAUCGGGGUAUUGCGCCUACAUGGCAGCGCACUAUCCUGAGCUACUUCCUGAAGAUGAUGAAUGGUGCAAGAGCCUGUACAAGGCCGUCGAGAAAGACGCUGAGCGCGUACUGGUCGGCAAUGAUUUCCGCGAUUCGGCGGCAUCUGAACUGGAGUACCGGAGGAGGUUGAUUGAGUUACUAAGCGCAGAGGGAAACCAUGAGGUGCUAAAGGAUGGUGCCAGGCUUGCGGAGCGAUUGAUUGGGCUGACUGAAGAAGUAGAGGAGAUGGCGUGGAAGGCCCUUGCUGUGUUUUGGUCGGAGAUGGUCUUGUAUGUCGCUCCAUCGGACAACAUCGACGGUCAUAUGAAGGCGCUCGCUCGCGGCGGCGAGCUGAUAACCCUCCUCUGGGCUUUGGUCACCCACCUCGGCGUCGUUGGUAGGUCCGACGACACCACUACCGAUGGUGCUAAUGUCCAUGUGUAA